rnacentral:tRNA from 1 species
GGUACGUUGGUGUAAUGGUAGCACACUUGUCACGAAAAUAUAGAGGGGUGGGUUCAAGUCCCAUGCGUACAG